UACUUCCUACGGGGGGCAGCAGUGGGGAAUAUUGCACAAUGGGGGAAACCCUGAUGCAGCAACGCCGCGUGAGUGAAGAAGUCAUUCGUGAUGUAAAGCUCUAUCAGCAGGGAAGAAAAUGACGGUACCUGAGUAAGAAGCCCCGGCUAACUACGUGCCAGCAGCCGCGGUAAUACGUAGGGGGCAAGCGUUAUCCGGAUUUACUGGGUGUAAAGGGAGCGUAGACGGCAGGGCAAGUCUGGAGUGAAAGGCAGGGGCCCAACCCCUGUACUGCUCUG
rnacentral:rRNA from 1 species